rnacentral:rRNA from 1 species
AAUGAACGCUGGCGGCAGGCCUAACACAUGCAAGUCGAACGGAUCCUUCGGGAUUAGUGGCGGACGGGUGAGUAACGCGUGGGAACAUACCCAAAGGUACGGAAUAGCCUCGGGAAACUGGGAGUAAUACCGUAUGUGCUCGAAAGAGGAAAGAUUUAUCGCCUUUGGAUUGGCCCGCGUUGGAUUAGGUAGUUGGUGGGGUAAUGGCCUACCAAGCCGACGAUCCAUAGCUGGUUUGAGAGGAUGAUCAGCCACACUGGGACUGAGACACGGUGCAUACACCUACGGGUGGCAGCAGUAGAUAAUAUUCGACAAUGGGCGGAAGCCUGAUCGAGCGACGCCGCGUGCGGGAAGAAGGCCUUCGGGUCGUAAACCGCUUUUGCGUGGGAAGAAUUUUGACGGUACCACGAGAAUAAGGGGUUGCUAACUCUGUGCCAGCAGCCGCCGUAA